UACAGAGGAGCCAAGCGUUGUCCGGAUUGACUGGGCGUAAAGCGCACGCAGGCGGAUGCGCGCGUGGGGUGUGAAAUCUGGCCGCUUAACGGCCAGGCGCCAUCCCAUACGGCACAUCUUGAGGGCUGCAGAGGUCGAUGGAAUUGCCGGUGUAGUGGUGAAAUGCGUAGAGAUCGGCAGGAACACCCAGGGGGAAACCAGUCGACUGGGCAGCACCUGACGCUGAGGUGCGAGAGCGUGGGGAGCGAACCGG
rnacentral:rRNA from 1 species